rnacentral:rRNA from 1 species
UACGUAGGCAGCGAGCGUUGUUCGGAGUUACUGGGCGUAAAGGGCGCGUAGGCGGGCUGGUAAGUCGGCCGUGAAAUCCCUCGGCUCAACCGAGGAACGUCGAUCGAUACUGCUGUUCUUGAGGAUUGCAGAGGAGACUGGAAUUCCCGGUGUAGCGGUGAAAUGUGUAGAGAUCGGGAGGAACACCGGUGGCGAAGGCGGGUCUCUGGGCAAUACCUGACGCUGAGGCGCGAAAGCGUGGGGAGCAAACGGG